rnacentral:rRNA from 1 species
GACGAACGCUGGCGGCGUGCUUAACACACGCAAGUCGAACGGUAAAGCCCUUCGGGGUACACGAGUGGCGAACGGGUGAGUAACACGUGGGUGAUCUGCCCUGCACUUCGGGAUAAGCCUGGGAAACUGGGUCUAAUACCGGAUAGGACCACUGCCUGCAUGGGUGGUGGUGGAAAGCUUUUGCGGUGUGGGAUGGGCCCGCGGCCUAUCAGCUUGUUGGUGGGGUGAUGGCCUACCAAGGCGACGACGGGUAGCCGGCCUGAGAGGGUAACCGGCCACACUGGGCCUGAGAUACGGCCCAGACUCCUACGGGAGGCAGCAGUGGGGAAUAUUGCACAAUGGGCGCAAGCCUGAUGCAGCGACGCCGCGUGAGGGAUGACGGCCUUCGGGUUGUAAACCUCUUUCAGCACCGACGAAGCGCAAGUGACGGUAGGUGCAGAAGAAGGACCGGCCAACUACGUGCCAGCAGCCGCCGUAACAC